UGUUAUAUACUUUUCAGAACGUUCUCACCACACGCCAACGCCUUUGCACCUCUCUCUUCUGCACUCUUCGAUGGCACCUCUCUCUCAAUUCCUUCCAAAAGGGAAAGUGAAUCUCACUCUUCACAAGUGUUUAAGGCGCCAUGGCGGAUCGAUUGACGCGUAUUGCCAUCGUCAGCAACGUCAGGUGCAAGCCCAAAAAGUUCCGUCAAGAGUGCAAGAAGAGUUGCCCCGUCGUCACAACCGAGAGGCUGUGUAUUGAGGUUACUUCCGUGUCCAAGAUUGCUUUCAUUUCCGAGGAAUUGUGCACUGGAUGCGGUAUUUGCGUUAAGAAAUGUCCUUUUGAAGCUAUCUAGAUUAUCAACUUGCCAAAGGACUUGGACAGGGAUACUACUCAUAGAUAUGGUCCUGAUACUUUUAAGCUGCAUAGGUUGCCGGUUCCGAGGCCUGGGCAGGUGCUUGGGUUGGUUGGGACAAAUGGGAUUGGGAAGUCCACUGCUCUUAAAGUUUUGGCCGGGAAAUUGAAGCCGAAUUUGGGUCGAUUCACUAAUCCCCCUGAUUGGCAGGAAAUUUUGACCUAUUUUCGAGGAUCUGAACUGCAGAAUUACUUUACUCGGAUUCUAGAAGAUGAUUUGAAGCCUGCAGACAUCUAUCUGAUAGAUGAGCCAAGUGCGUAUCUAGAUUCUGAACAGUGAAUUAUUGCUUCCAAAGUCAUUAAGAGGUUUAUUCUUCAUGCAAAGAAAACGGCUUUUGUCGUUGAGCAUGAUUUCAUCAUGGCAACAUAUCUUGCAGACAGAGUUAUUGUUUAUGAGGGUCAACCAUCAAUUGACUGUAUUGCAAAUUCUCCAGUCAUUGUUGACUGGGAUGAACGUUUUCUUAUCACAUCUUGAUAUCACAUUUAGAAGGGACCCAACUAAUUUUCGCCCAAGGAUCAACAAACUUGAUUCAACCAAGGACAGAGAACAAAAGUCAGCCGGGUCUUAUUAUUACCUUGAUGACUGAGUUCAUACUUUUGGGCUGUUCUUUCACUAACACAACCUUGCAUCUGUUUGAGCUUUUCCUGGGAUUUCAGAUUUGGUUCACAGUUCAUGCCUUGAAAUAUAAGAUUGCCAUCUUUAACGUUGAAGGCAUCUUUCUCAAUGGAGAUUGAAGAGCCUGCAUGCAAGCCCUAUGUUGGUUGGUGCAUUUGUAUAUUUACCCUUAUGUUUAGGGCAGUUUUCACCUCAUUUGACAACACUAUCUCCAUCCCAGUCAUUUCAGACAUAUGUGAUUAAGGAUGUUCACAUCUCGGGUAUAUCUAUGACCCAAUUUAAUCCAUUUAUAUUGAAUUGAGUUAUUUAAGUGUUUAAUUUAAAUUUGA